GUGAGAGUUUGCGUAACCUUAGUGUGAUAAAUGGAAUAGCUUUACUUUUUCGCAACUUGUGUACUUACGUGAACCAGAGCAGCCUCAUGGGUUUGUAAAAUCGACAUGGUGUGGGAUUAUUCGAGCCAAGCUGAACGACGAAGCACCUUCGGGGGAUCAAAAUGGACCCAGCAGAGCGUGGUUGCAGCUCCGAUGAAAUGCGAAUGACGAACGCUGAGGAUCACACAGAGAGACAGCUAUAAGACUCUCAACACCUUUUUUCUACGCCUUUCUCUACCACCGUCCUACUGCUGACUAAGGGUGAUGGAAGAGGUUGGAGUAGGAUGGUGGAGGGACGAGGCGGCGAAACACGGCAGGAUCCUAUAACCGAGCUCAGAUAAAAAGACUGGAUGACAUGCACGCCCAGCCGCUCCACAGCGACGGGUGAAGGCAGAGCUGUCUCGGCCUGAAGGCCGGGGUCUCGAAACAGGCGCUUCGUGAUGACGUCACGGUUCAAAUCUGCUCUCCGUGAUCAGUUGUCUUGGAAUGGUGAGAGCGAGAGGUCACGCUAAUUCGUUGUGCCUCUACUUCCUUUGUUCCUGCUUGGUCGUCAGCAGAGAGUUAUGGAUUUUCAAAGAACAAAGAGAUCCCGAGCCUCAGGUGGCCUGGGGCAGCAACCGCGGCGGCACUCGGUGCAUAGCUGGGUGGGAAGAGUGGGCUUUGGGAUAUUGAGGACGGGGAAGCUGGAGCAACCAGUACAGAUCAACCGGCAACAGUUCAAGCUCUGAGGUUCAAGGAAGACUGAGCACUCCGUAAAAAGGGAAGGUGUGGGGAGCCAAGCUGGAAGGAAGACCGCACAAGACAGGAAUUUGUUGAUAUUCAGCUGAAUGAUAACUGGACGGCAGGGAAAGAGGAGAUGUGCGCUGCGGCCAUCGCUAAGUGUCCACCCCUCUUAAGUUGUGGGUUAAAACCCAUAAAUAGAGAUAUCCUGGCAUGUGUUAGUAAAUCUACCAGUUAGGCAAACUUCAUGAGCUCUGUUGAAGAAAAGGAAAACAUUAUAAAAGCAAAAGUAUUAUAGCUUUUGUGCUAAAGCAGGAUUUAUUUAUUUGCCAUUAAAUAAACUUCUAUGCAUUAUAAAAGUGACACUUACU